CUAGUUAUCCAGACGAGGCGUCGAGCCGUCGAUACACGCAGGAUUCGACGGAGCGGGCGGUCAGCGUCGAUGCAGCCGAGGCGUCGAUCCAGCAGAGGCGCGAUUCGGGAUGUAGCCGAUGCGACGCUCGCGAGGUGAUCCGGUGCGUGAGGGAGGCUAGGCGCUCUAGCGACAGAGAUGCUGGAGAUGGGGUAAGAUCUGUGGCACGGCUUCGUCGAUCUUGCUCCCCUUUCCUUUUGCGCACCAAGCAAUGGCAAGAGGAGAAGUUGUUUCGGUGGUGGUGUAUGGUAGCUGUGGCUGUGGUGUGGGUGAUCGGAUUGGGGCCACGAGUGACGGUUCCAGCACGAGGUACUACCUCCGUAACCCUGUGCACACCACACAAUCGUAGGCCUCCCCUCGUCUCUCACAUCCGCUAGGUGCACGAGGACAACAACAGGCACCUCCGGAUUCUAUCUCCCUUCCCUUGGCCGGAUGGCAGGUGCCCGAAAUCCAAAUUUUUUGACACCUAGAUAGGCGGCCAUGGGAGCCGGCGCUCGAAUUGAACUUGGGGAUCCGGAUGCUAUCAGAGGUGCAGAUAGAGACGACGAAGAUGAUAACCACCAGCGGCCGUUGAUUGUUUUGGUUUUCCCUGGUCUGUUUGAUUUAUUUAUUUCGUUAGCUUCGGCUCUUUCUUGAUGCCAUUACCCAUUAGUACCGAGUGAAAUGACUCUUGCCGGUGGUGAUUUGUUGAUUUGAUUUUGCAAGGCCUGAUGAUGAUGAUGAUGCCAUUUUUUGGCUGGCGUGAACCUGGUGUUCUUGAUGUGGAUGAUGCAGCAGGAAAUGCCACACUGGCCAAGGGACAACAACAUGAGCAAAUGAACUGGACACUCCUAUUGGGGAUGGUUGAGCCGCUAUAAGACAUAUAUUCAUAUUUCAGCUGUUAUAAGUACCACACGCCACAUUUGACAUCUUGUAUUGCCAAUACACAAGCAAUUAUAAUAUGCGUUCCAAACAGAAUACGUGUGAAGAACAUGAACAAUACUCUUCCAUUUUUAGUGAUCUAAACACUCUUAUAUUUCUUUAUAGAGGGAGCAGUAGAUAUGGGCGCUGUGUCCAAAGCACUGUCCAUUUUAUCGAAAACGAGUCCCUCAAGACUCUUCUGAAGAUAAUCUCUCUUCCUGUGUCAAUGCCUUUCAUACUGCUAUCAUAAGAUAAAGUCUGUAGCUACGUUUGCUUAAGUACAACUCUUGUUUCAGUUAUAGGCUUAUGGUUUAUGCAUCUUGGUCAUGUUCUGAACUUGAAGCGAUGUAAAAACCAAUCAUCAUAACCAAAUGUCUCAUCUAUGAAAGCUAAGUUAAGCUAUACUCGUGUGAGGUUCUCCACCUAAUACUCUUAGUACUAAAUUUGUAGGCGAGCAGUCAUAUACCCUAAAAGAUAAAGAAACUAAGUUUAUUCAUGGUGCAUUAUAGCCAUUUGUAUGUAGUACAAUAGUAGUAUAUUUGCAUAUGUUCUAUCUGAAACCCAAUUGGUGAAACCCAAUUGGUCAGUAUGUUUUCUUGUUAUUACAUCUCUGAUUAGUUUACUUUCUUAAAUAAUUUAGCUCCUAAUAUUUAUCACUUUUCCGAACAGACAUGUUAACCAGGUAUGUUGUCUUCGUGGUCAUCUGUACAUAUGCUAAUGUGAGCUUUAGCAUUGUAAAUUAACCUUCAUAUUUGUAUGUUUUAUUUGCAGUGCACUGUUUGUGAUUUAAUCAUUCACCCAACUGGUAGGAUCUGAAUCUGGUGGACUCCAUACGAUGGCUAUUUAUGUGAGUAGAUAGCUUCACCUUGGCUUGCUGUGAGUAUGGCAACGUCGGUUAUCACUCUCUUCUUCUUUGUUAAAAUCUAGGCGCAGGUCUCUCUUCUUUGGUGAAUCAUUCCGUUGGGGCACUCCAUCCCCUGUGAAUGGGUACAUUACCCAUCUAACUUCAGCCAUCAGCUUUGCUCUGAUACCAAGAAAACCUCCAUAUUCAGUUGUACUUGUAGACUUGUAGUGUAGUAGUCCAUUGCUGAAUUGUAUUGCACUUUGCUUCUGGGUAUAGAACUACAUAUCACAUGGACCUUUCCCUGGAAGCAAGCAAACAUUUUUGACUCGUGAGGUGUAACUUGUCAUGUCUCUUUUAGAAUUUUAGAAAUGGUACCAAACUUACAGUACAAAUGGAGUCAAUGUUUAGUUAAAACUUGUUAAACAUUUUUUGUCGCUAAUGUAUUUGUGUCUUAUGUACUAUAUAUUGUAGUGUUUUCAUGCAAUUAGGCUAUUUUGUUGCAAAACAAAAAUAUAUAGCUGUGUUAAGUUUUCUCAUGGAUGAGUGACCACCUGAAGGUGCUUUGCUAUAGUAUGCAGUUCUCUCAAACUAAUCCAUGAUAUAUGGUAUGUAGUUCUCUCAUGGAUGAGUGACCACCUGAAGGUGCUUUGCUAUAGUUCUUGUUCCAUUAUUCAGUGACAUAUCACAUUGACUUUCUAUGGCCUUAAAGAAAAGGCUGCGGUUAAUUUCUAUGAAUGAGAUAGUAACUACCAAAGGUGUUGUUAUUUUGGGCAGGUUGCAGAUUUGGCUAUUUAUGUAUGUUAUUUUAUUAUAAUCUGUAUCUGGUGUAUGCAAAUAGUUGACGUGUUGACAUUUUUUCCAAGACACUCAUGAUGUGGAUUAUUGAG
rnacentral:rRNA from 1 species